GCUAUGUCAGUGGUUCUCAAUCAGGGGUGAUUUUGACCCCCAGGGGACAUUUGGCAAUGUCUGCUGACAUGUUUGGUUGUCACAGCUGGUGGGGAGAAUUGCUACUGGCAUCUAGUGGAAGGCUAGAGAUGUUACAAAACAUCCCACAAUACGCAGAACCUCGCGCUCCUCCCAGCAACCUCAGUGUUCAAUAGAAGCUCCUAGGACAAAUUCUCACCCAGGGGAAAUGGAGCAUCGGAGCGUGCAGCAACUUCCUAGCCGUGUGACCUUGCGAUUCCCUGUGGAAGAGGACUGUCAGCACUCUAUCUUCUCCCACACGUUUAGGCAA